GAGUUUGAUCCUGGCUCAGGACGAACGCUGGCGGCGUGCCUAAUACAUGCAAGUCGAGCGCGGGAAGCAGACUGAAUCCUUCGGGAGGAUGUCUGUGGAACGAGCGGCGGACGGGUGAGUAACACGUGGGCAACCUGCCUGUAAGACUGGGAUAACUCCGGGAAACCGGGGCUAAUACCGGAUAACUCAACGAACCGCAUGGUUCGGUGUUAAAAGAUGGCUUCUGCUAUUACUUACAGAUGGGCCCGCGGCGCAUUAGCUAGUUGGUGAGGUAACGGCUCACCAAGGCCACGAUGCGUAGCCGACCUGAGAGGGUGAUCGGCCACACUGGGACUGAGACACGGCCCAGACUCCUACGGGAGGCAGCAGUAGGGAAUCAUCCGCAAUGGACGAAAGUCUGACGGUGCAACGCCGCGUGAGUGAUGAAGGUUUUCGGAUCGUAAAACUCUGUUGUUAGGGAAGAACACGUGCUGUUCGAAUAGGGCAGUGCCUUGACGGUACCUAACCAGAAAGCCACGGCUAACUACGUGCCAGCAGCCGCGGUAAUACGUAGGUGGCAAGCGUUGUCCGGAAUUAUUGGGCGUAAAGCGCGCGCAGGCGGUUUCUUAAGUCUGAUGUGAAAGGCCAUAGCUCAACUAUGGAGGGCCAUUGGAAACUGGGGAACUUGAGUACAGAAGAGGAGAGCGGAAUUCCACGUGUAGCGGUGAAAUGCGUAGAUAUGUGGAGGAACACCAGUGGCGAAGGCGGCUCUCUGGUCUGUGACUGACGCUGAGGCGCGAAAGCAUGGGUAGCGAACAGGAUUAGAUACCCUGGUAGUCCAUGCCGUAAACGAUGAGUGCUAGGUGUUAGGGGGUCCAACCCUUAGUGCUGCAGUUAACGCAAUAAGCACUCCGCCUGGGGAGUACGGCCGCAAGGCUGAAACUCAAAGGAAUUGACGGGGGCCCGCACAAGCGGUGGAGCAUGUGGUUUAAUUCGACGCAACGCGAAGAACCUUACCAGGUCUUGACAUCUUCGGACCACCCUAGAGAUAGGGUCUUCCCUUCGGGGACCGAAUGACAGGUGGUGCAUGGUUGUCGUCAGCUCGUGUCGUGAGAUGUUGGGUUAAGUCCCGCAACGAGCGCAACCCUUAACCUUAGUUGCCAGCAUUUAGUUGGGCACUCUAAGGUGACUGCCGGUGACAAACCGGAGGAAGGUGGGGAUGACGUCAAAUCAUCAUGCCCCUUAUGACCUGGGCUACACACGUGCUACA
rnacentral:rRNA from 1 species